ensembl:lncRNA
UGCAGAGUGAAAGUUGGACUGUGUGGGCAACGUUUUCCUAGCAACAAUGCCAUUGUAGCAGCUGCGAAGGACCACGUGCCAGAUAAGUCUCUCUUCUGAAGGCUCAAAGCUUUUACAACAGUGGAAUAAUUAUUCUGUGUGUGGGGAAAGGGAGGCAGGGUGACCAUGGCUGCUGCAGCCCACAUCCAGAACUGCUGGCAGAAGCUUGCUGUUUGCCUCAGCUUUUAAGGGAGCAAACCCAUCUUACAUCUGCUAAGCACCCUUCCUUCACAGAAAUCCACUGAUUUCAUAAGCCCUGCCUCUGCCUUGUGCAACGACUGGCUGGAAGGGCAAGUCAGUAUUGCUCACGCUGAGGUUUGGCCUUGUAAAUACAGGUAGCCUGCUGCAGACCCGUUGCUUGUGCCAGGGGUCAGCAUAAGCAACGCUUGGAGUUUGCUUUUUCAGAGGGAGCUUUCUGUCCUAGCAAUUUGUUUUGGCCUUGGACCCCUUCUCUGCUGCUGUGAGCUUAACAAGAUCCUCUGUCAUUCUCCAGGGAAGCUUUCAAGCUCGCUGCUGCGGGUUUGAAUUGGCUUUAAAUAAAAGGUGUUCUGUUUCUGAAGUGCCCUGCCCAAGGGCUCCGGAGCACACUGCGUGCAAUCCAAACAGCCAGCAGACAAAGCUGUUCCAGGUGAAGUGCCCGAGCGUGAUGACGUGGCAGAGAGCUGCAGGGAAGCGUUUGCAAUUGAGUCCCAAAGGAAGAAGGCUUUGUCUGAAAACCCACCGUCUGCAGGUGGUGGCUGAGUGUCAAGGUCGGGGCUGUGCCCCUCUGCCUGCACGGUGCCUCUGUGCUGAUCACCCUGCUUGGCUGAAGGAGAUGCAAAGGGGGAGAAGCAGAGGGUUCUGUCUGUCUGUCAGCUGCCUUCAGAAGGGUCCUGCUGGCUCCUUGCCUCUGCUCGGAUCGUGCCGGUCUGUGCCAGACUCGGAGGUCCUGAGGAGGAGAGAAGACACGAGUUCAGCAUGUGCACGGUGAGCAGUUCAGCAUAAGGAAACAUCACCGAUGCCAUUAUCUCUGCUGCCAGUCCUGCCUGGUAAACCUGCUCCUUCCAGGAUGGCUGAGCCCAGGGUGCAAACCACAUCCCUCAGCAGCUGUGCAGAGCUUGCACUCAAUAGCCACGUUCCAGGUUCUCAGAACACCCACGGCUGCUUAAAAACCAUGGAGUGAAGAGAUGCCAUGUAAGCAUUAUUGGGGAGCUGUGUGUGUUCCUGGUUUUCGGAGCGCUGUAGCUUUGCUGUUCUUCAAGUGCAGUGUAGAGGAUGCAAGGCUUGCUGAAAUGAAGCUGUUUCUGUGGAGGAAUACCGCAGCUGAAGGAGCUGUUGCUCUGAGCUGCAGAGAUGCUGUACCGAAGCUCUGACAUGCUGAGCCCUGUCCAAUUCCUCCAAAGCACGCUGUUCCAUGUACCUUUGAGAUGCCAGCUCCUCCAGGGUGAGGUGGGCUGUGCAGCAGAGCUGUCCCCGCUCACACUGUAAUCCUCAGCCCUCAGCUGUCAGCGUCUCGGAUGAGUUCUUGGAGGGUAUCCAGACAAACACAGGAGAGAUUUCAACUGCUGCGAUCCCCUGUCCUAUUUUAUCUCAUUUCUGACAGCCCAUGUCUGCUGAGGCUGGGAAGUGGUGAGGAGACGAGAGCAGCUUCCUGCAUUUGUGGAUGGAGAAGCACUCCUUCCUCUGACAGCCUGCUUGCUUUGCCUGUUUCCUGCAGUACUGAUGCACUGUCUCUUGCCUUCUGGACCAGCUGCAUCUUCAGGACAACGUCCCAGAUGGCUCUUUUAGGGAAAGAAAUCAGAGACUGAUUGGUGGCCAAAAAAAGUCUCUCAUCCAGUAUCAAAGCUUUAGCUGCACCUUAUGCUUCCCAAGGACGGCUUGGAAAGGGCACAGUGGAGCUGCUGCUGAUCCUCUUGCACCGGGCUCAGGGGGUAUCUGGAGAAACCCUGUGUUUCCAGAUAAGGACGUGCUGGAUUUACAGUUGCCUACCACUGUUAAUGCAUCCUCGUCUGCGUGGUCGUGUGAAGGUUGCUUUCCCGUUGACCAGAGGGAGACCCGUGGCUCAUCUGUGCACCCUUCUUAGAGCUGCUGAAGAGACUCAGAAUGGGGUGAUGGCCCCAUGCUCCUUCCUGGGGUCUCCUCUUCCUCAAGAGCCAGCGCAGGCCAGCUAAUGUCCAGGUGCAAAGGGUGCACCGCCCUCUGCCAUGCCAUCUACCUGGUGAUAUCAAGGCCAAGAGCGUCACGUUCUGGAUGUUCAUAAAUUACAAGGGAAACAGCUUUCUUCCUUCACCCCUUGAACUUUUAUUCAUUCCUCCAUUGUGUUAAUGAAUACGUGGUCUAAGCUGUAUGUCAGUCCCUGUUCUUGCGUGCUGUAGAUGAGGCUGGCUUGUCAGCGCUUGGCCUCCUUUUGCCAUCAGCUCGAGCGGAGCUGUUACACGUUAGUUCUCCAGCAGCAUUUUGAUUACCUCUCAUAACACAACGCUGUCAAUGCAGACUGACCAAUACAGCAAUUCAAUGAGCGUGUUGCUCUUGACAAGCCUUAUUUGCCCUGGAUAAGUCAGGUGGAAUAUCUUCAGCUGCAGGUAAUAGGCAGUAACAUCCUCUCUGUGUGUUAGCUGAAGGUUUCCUGGUCUCUGUUUCACCCGAAGGGGCUUCCUUGUCUCCACUGCAGCAGGAUGCAGAGCCUGAACUAACUCUGAGCAAGGAACUGUGGAGUCCAGAAACAGCAGCUCUGCUUUAAGUGAGGCUCUUGCCCUGGGUAAUCAUCCCAUCCUGAGAAGCACAACGUACUAUCUCAGGCUUCUUCCUAAGGUGUGUUGACCAACGUGCAUUUGAUGUCUUGGAGCUGCCCUGGCAGUGUGUGGGCCAUCAUCCUCAGUGGGGAACCAGAGACAGCAAUCACUGCUAAGUGCCAGAUGAUAGCAUGUUUUGCCGGCUGCUUUGAUGCAUUAUGUUUUCCACCAUCUGUAUUUGCACUGCGUUGGAGGCUUGCUUGCCCUGCAAGGGCUGGGCUGCGAUCCCUCCAGCACUGUGAGCAGCCGGGUGUGGUGUUUAGAGGGUGGAGAGGAGACGUCAAGCUUUCUUGCUUUGCUAUGCCCAUGCCUUGUCUCCCCACACUUGCUCACUUCUCCAAAUAUUGCUGCUCUCAAUGAACUCUUAGCAGCUGUCAGUCCCCGUUCCUGAAGCGAUGUGCAGUUCUGAGCUCCCUACAGGUUGGGAUGGUCCUUGUGCUGGCUGCUCCCUGCUCCAAUCCUUGGCCUGUUGUGCUUUUUUAGCCUGCAAAGCCUCCUUCCCAAAUGCUUCUGAAGAAGCCAAAGCAGGGUCUGCUCUGGCAGAAAGAAGCCUGCAGACCUGGAUCCUCUCCCCUCAGCCACUGCAGCCCUGGAUGGUGUUUAUUGGCAGGCAUCGCUCCCAGUGCUCCUGCUCACCUCGUGCUCUCCCAGGAGGAACAAGCUUCACAUGAUGGCUUUGGAAAUAAGUCAGGGCAUGUGUCUUGGGCAGAACGAAAGGAGCUGGAAACCUGAGCUUUGUUUGCAUGCACGUUGUUCCUGGCUUUGGCAGGGAUGAGCCCUGACUCCGUGCAGCUGCCGUGACUGGUUUACUGGGCACAGCAUGAGGUCCCUCCUCCUUGAAGGACAUUCACUGUAUUUUGAAGCCACGACCGCCGGCAGAGGUAAGAUUCGUGCUUCCUGAGAGCAGCAAGCUUUUUCUGCUUGCCUCCCAGCUUGCCAGCUUGGGUGAACAGCUCUGCAGGAGGGCAAGGAGGGGAGCUGCAUGCAAUUACCUGCGAACACUGGGAAGCGGUGAGAGGUCCCGCUAUCAGCCACGGCCCAGCUGUACCGAGUGAGCCUGCUCCCACUAUCCUUGGCUCCUGCAGAUGCACGUGAACCAGGCUGGCUGUGUGCUCCAGGUGGAGGAGAAAAGGAGCCUUUCAUCUGCUCCUCACAGAGCAGGCUGGCAGCCAGCUCACGCCUGCUGUUUGGUUCCCUCUGCCACAGCCGGAUCGGGGAGGUGGGAGCUGAGCAGCUGUGCCCCUCCCCAGGGGUCAGCCCAGGGUGGGAAAUGUUAGGGAUGGGCUCUGCUCCCUGUGUUAGCAAUCAGAUUGGGCUGUGGUGUCACACAGGGGGUCCCUCCUGGAGCCGCUCCCACGAGCCAGGUGAAAGCUAGCUGAUUUAUCAGGUGCUCUUUGGGCUGUGCACCCUUCCCAGUGUCCUUGGGUAUGCGAGCCUGGAUGCAGGCCCUUCUCCUGCCCUUCACAAGGUGUCUCUCCUUCCUACAUGGACACCCUUGCUCCCCGUCGCUGCGGCAGCAUCCUCCUGUGUUGCUGUCUCAGCUGUGCAGGCUCUGCCAAGGCAAUGCUUCCCCUCCUCCCUGCCCACCGUGCUGUGCCAGCGAGCCCAAACCCACUGUGCUGGUCUCCUGAUUUGUUUUGGUUCAUGUUCCAGACGAGGAUAAAGUGGCAGAUAUUUCUGUGCAGCGAUAGGAUCUCACCAGCCAGCCUUGCUUUAAUGCGAUCCCAGGCAUUCGAGGUGCCCGAUUACCUUAUCUCCCCUCUGCAGAUAUACCUUACUCACCCCUCUCAACCUAAAAACGAGCCAGCCCGGGUGGGAGCUGCAGAAACUCGGCCUCUGCAGCCCUGCAGGCAAAUGGUCGGGCAGAAAGCAGUGAGUGAGGCUCCCACCCUGUGUGCUUUUGCUGCAUGAGGUUCCCUUCUUUCUGCUUGCAGCUCUGUGCUGCAGCGGGGUGGCUGGGAAGGCUGCGUCACAGCUGACUCACAGUGCUGGCACGGCGGGAGCCCCACGCACUGGUUGCCCCCCACUCACUGGUUGCCCCCCAGCUCCACAGGGGCACCUGUUUGCUCCCUGGCUUUGCAGUUCAGCAGUCCCUGAGAUGGGCCUGAGGUUGCUGCACGCAGGGGCAGUGAGGCUGUGCCUCGUCCCAGCCUUCCCAGCUGCAUCUUGCUGCUCUCCCUCUGUCACAUGAGCAUUACACCAUCUCUCCCUUGGAGAAUGAGCGUGGAACGUGUCUGGUUGCCAGAGCAAAGUGAAAUCUGCUCCAGCUUCAAACGCAUGCAAUCCCAAGCUGUGCGCUUUGGGUAAAUGCUAAAUCCUAUCUCUGGUUCAUAAAGAGGGGAGAUUGAUGCUGAAGCACGGCGUGGGCACCAAACACCCCAUGCUUUGCAGCUCUCGGGUCUCCUGGAAGCUCCUUGAUUCAAAGGGAAACGUCCCCAGCCAGUGUGAGUCACAGGGCAUAGGUGGGCCGGGUCAGCCCUGAGCAAACACUCAGAUAUAGGGGUGAGGAUUGCUCCAUCAGAUGGCCAAAAAGCUGUUGGUGGCAGAACAGCCUCUGCGAGCAGGCAGUGCAGAAAAAUAAGUGCAAAAUGGAAGGGGGGAGAGAGAGGGGGGGGAGCUGGAAAUCCACGGCUCAACAGCAGCUCAUCCAAUACAGAGCCUUGAAAAGAUAGGGAUUUUGAAGGGAGGUGAAAAGAUGUAAUGAGAAACUGCAUGGGAAUUUCUAGCAGUGAGGAGGAGGAACUGAAUGAUAGCAUAUUGGGAGGGGGGGGGGGGGGGAGGAGGGAAGAGUCCAAAAGCUCUUAGCUAUAGGAAUAUAGGAAUUGGGAGAGUGGAGUGCAUGUUUUUGUAAUCUGAUGGGGCUGAUGCCAUUCCCACGUGAUGUGCAUGGAUCUGCUUCCAUUCCUGCAGCACUGGGCAGUGCAGGGGCUCUGGGUCACCCCCAUUGCCUGUGCCCAGGUCCUGAGCUCCGGGCAGCACAGCUCAGCUGCCCACCAGCUCCGUGGAAUAUGGUCGAUGGAGGUUUUUCUUUUUGUGGGGUUAUGUAAUGAUUGACCUCGUGGAAAUGGGUCUUAUGAAAGCAUGGAAUCGGCUUAGCUUGCGGACGGCUCGAGCUGCCACGCAGGAGAUGCUAUCGAUGCUGUUAGGAAUUCACACUUUUGUACGGUUGGAAAGCAUUUGACUCCACCUCAUUGUGUCUUGGCUGGACAAAUAGGCCUGGGUCACAGCUAUAUCUUUCCCUGGACCAGGCUGAGCUGUGUGCCAGCAGCCGGCUGACUCACAGAGCAGCUCCAGGUCUGCCCGUGGCCGUGCAGCCGGAGCUAUCGUGCCUGCCUCUGCCAUAGGAGCCCCGUGUGCAGGAGCUGCAGGGAGGAGAGGCAGCGCUCUGCCAUCCUUCUGAGCAGAGCAGAUGAACCCACACCUAAUUGCUUUUAAAAACUCCCUGUUGCUAUGGUGACUCAACAAGCGUGAUGCUCUCAAGUGCUUCUCUCCACUCCCAGGUCUUGCGUUGGCACCGGGAAGCUGUGUGUGUACCUAUGUACGUACAUCUGCUUUCUUCCAGCUUUCAAAGGUGGCAUCCAGUCCCCUUGGAGCGUGAGCAGAAUCCCUUCUGAGCUGGGGAAAGGUUUGCUUGAAAGGUCUUGUAAUAAGGUUAAGGAGAGGCCAGCAGCCGCUCGCCCUGCUGCUGAGCACUUCAGUAGCUAAAUUUAGUCCCUUGAGUCAUUACUGAGUCAGCAAAUUGGGGGCAGGAAAUCUUGAUUUCUCUUCUCUUCCUUUUUCAUCAGCGACGGAUCCAAGACGGGCUCCACACUGCUUUCUCUCUCAAUCCAGCACGCUGCCUCCCGCACUGCUUUCCCCUGGAGCAUCCUUGAGCCUGGCCAGAAGAAGUCAGAGCUCCUUUCCUCUCUGCUGCAGCCACCUGCCCUGACAAGUGGCCUGUCCUCGGGGAAGCGGCAUCGUUUCCUAUCGUUAGUGAUGCGGGGCACGGGAAGCUGUGUCCACUCAGCUUUGUCUCUUGCUGGGUGCACACUGGCCGAGGCCGGUGGCAGCUCAUGCAUCCCCUGGAGCUGCCUUGAAACCCAGUGAUGGGUAAAGAAACCCCAUCCAGCUGCUCUUCUCUGUGCCUGCGAGUGCCUCAGCAUGGUGAAUAGCAACGGAAGAGCUCAGGAGAAACAAGCAUGAGUGGUAGAAAUAAGCAGCAUCAAGAGAUCCAGCAAGCGAAGGAUGAAAAAUCAGAGUAACGGCCAAGGAGACGACAUCCACUUGACUUCUCUUGCCCGUGGUGUGAGCAAUUAAUCCAGCUAAGGCAUGGCAGUGGAAUGAGGCCAGGAGCAGCAGGAGGACGGCGCUGCACCGGCAGCAGCAAGCGGGACCGGACAUCUUCCUCUGCCACGCUGCCCCGACCUUUGUGGUGAGGUUGUGCAUGGAGAAAUGUGCUGAACCACCCCGUUGCCAUGGAAACCAAGGCCGAGAGGGGACCAGCCUGCUCCUGCUAAUUGCUGUGGCUUUGUGACCCCAUCCGUCCAUCCUGCUGCCUCCCGUGAGCCUGUCCGAAUGCACAGCGCUGGCCCCAUCCUGCAUCAUCCUGCCCUUUGGCUCCCAGCCCCAAUGCUGUGAGCACGAUCUGGGGUUCCUCUUUCUCUCCUUUGUGUUGUCACAACCUGCACAAGAUCAGUUAAAAUCCGUGGCUUGAGCAUCCCUGCAGCCCAUCACCCCGUGCAUGCACAUCUGCCUGCAUGCUUGUUGCAGGAGCACGGUGGCGGUGCAGUGAUGCACCUCCCUUGCCCUGCAUCCCGGGCUGCCCUGCCUUUAUCUCGUCCAAUUAAAUAACUGCAGAUAGUGGGCUUAAUAAGGCCCUGCUAUGAAAGAUUACUGACGAUUUCUUUCCCAACGUGCGGUGAAUUAGGAGGCAGUGAGCAGGGAAAGGACUGCUGCUAAUUACAGUCCCCCAUGUCCCCUCUGCUGCCACCACUGCUGCUGGGCCCCUCGCUGCUCCCUGCACCUGAUUGCAUUUUGCUGCUGGUUGUGGCCAAUUUGCAGCUCUCAGCUGCUGCUGCUUCUCCCUUCCCCCCACACCCCCUGCUCCUCUUCGAGUUUAUUAAUGAAAACCUUAUCUGUCGGUGCAGAUAAUGCCAGAAAUAAUUAGUGCACACGGAGGGCUGGCAGGCUGCUCUCUGCUCCCACCACCCACACCCUCUCCUCUCACUGUUUACAGUUUCCUGUGCUGCUUGGGGCUGCUUUUUGGGUUUUUAAGCCUCCUUGCUCUGUACAGAUUUAUUUGCUUCUCUCUCUCUCUCCAAGUUUUCCUUGCUCAGAAAGAGACAGACAGACCUGAGGCACAGAUGCAUCCUAAAGAGCUUGACCUUAAGCACCUGGGCUGCAGGUGCCCUGACCUUAUGGCUGCUGGAAAUGGGGAGCUGCCCCCCAAUGCCCAAGAGCAGGGAUUGCAUUUGCUCCUGGCAUGCUCUGGUCAGGUCAUGGCCCUGCUCCUGCUGCGCCAGCGCCGUCCUCGCUUUGCUCGUGCUCCCUUUCAUUACACUUAGCAUCAUUGUCUCUUGGCUUAAAUCUUUCAGCCUGAUAAAGGACGACAGCGCUGCUCGAGUGCCUGGGAUGGCAUAAAUAAUUCCAGUGCUGAGAGAGAUUUACAGCUAUAUAAAUGUCAGGAGUGAGCCCAGUUUGUAUUAAUGGCCUUAUUAGUUACAUUGCUGUAAAAUACAGAUCCUCCAAUUGUUAAGCGGCCGUGGUUUUGGUCCACAGCAUUAAUCCAAUAAAUUUGGGCUUCUCAAUACGAAUCUUCGUCUCUGAACCCCACUGGAAAAUCCUUCAUGGUAUGUCAGAGAGCUUUAAAUGGCUGUGGCUGAGACAGAGGUGGGAAUAACAGAGCUGGUGGGAGCGCAGGUGUAAGGCAGUGCAGCAGCCCAUCCCCACCCAAGGGCAUGGGAAGUGUGGAGGUCCCUUGGCCGUGAGGAGCUGUGGGGUGGGAUUGGUGCUUUUGUCACCAGCUUGGAAACCACAGCCCAACCCAAGAGCUCCCAUGGCUCUGAGAUGUCCGUCCGUCCUUCCCACCCUGCUGCCAUCCCUCCCUGUUCCCUGGUGCAUCUCGUAUGAGGACGUUCUGCAACUCUGCAAACUUUCCACCAGCGACCUGCCAAGUGCAUGGGGAGGGAGAGGGGAAAGCACCACGAUAAUUGAAAAUAAAUGGUGCAUUAUAUGAAAUAAAUGUUCUGGUGCAGCCAGCUUGCUGUCGCUGAUUAUUUAUUUGUUACUUGCAAAUGCUUUGAGGAGGUG